CCUUCCAAAGGCCCUACCUCCAGAUGCCGUCAAAUUGGUGGUUAGGAUUUCAACAAAUGAACUUGGUGGGAAAUACACAUUUGGACCACAGCAAUGUAUUACCGUCAUUCUUUUUAAUGUUAUCCAUUCUCUGUGUGUUGUAGAAUCUCAAAGUAAUCAUUUUCAUCUUAAUGAGGGUGAGAAUUUUUUUAUAUGCGAUUGGCAACUUUAAUACUCUCUUUGGCAAAGCACCUGUGAAGGUCUUUCCUGGUUUUCUAUGGGGUUGUCUGUUAUUUUCAUAUCUGUGGGAGUUCUUCGUAUCAUUGAGAUACAAUCUCUUUGUCAGUUAAAUAUCUUCUCCCACUCUAUGGCUUGGAUUUUUUGCUCAUUUAAGGCUUCUUAUAAAGGACAGAGUUCUUCAUUAAAAUGUCAUCCAAAAUUGCACUUUUUCAUUUAUGGUAGAGUUUUUUGUGUCUGCUUAAAGUGUCCUUCCCUACUCUGAGGUCAUGAAGGUAUUUUGCUGUGUUUUCUUACCAAAACAUUACUGUUUCACUUUUCACAUUUUGGUAAGCUGGUAUUGAUUUUUAUGUAUGGAGGCAAGUGGAGGUUAAAUCUUUCUUUCUCCCUCUUCUUUUCCUUCCUUCCUUCCUUCUCUUUCUUUCUCUCCUUUCUUCCCUCUUUCUCUUUUCUUUCACCUCAUAUAAAUACUUAAUUGUCCCAUCACAUGUAUUAGAAGUCCUGCCUUUCCCUGCACUCUGCGGGGCCACCUCUGUCACAACCCUGGAGGCCAUCCAUGCAGUGUGUUUCUGGAGUCUGUUCUGUUUCAGUGUUUUAUUUGUCUGCACUAUGGUCUGAACGUUUGUGUCCUCCCACAUUUCAUAUGCUGAAAUCUAAUUCCCAAUGUGAUAGAAUGAGGAGCUGGGGCCUUUGGGAGGGAGGAGUUCAUGGGGGCAGAUCCUCAGGAAUGAGAUUAGUGCCCUUGUAAAUGAGGCCCCAGAGAGCUCCCACAUCCCUUUUGCCAUGUGAGGUCACAGCAAAGAGAUGGCUUCCCUGAACCAGGAACCAGGCUUCACCAACACCAAAUCUGCUAGCACCUUGAUCUUCCACUUCCCAGUCCCCAGAACUGCGAUAAAUACAUUUCCGUGGUUAGAAGCCACCUGGUUUGUGGUGUUGUGUCAUAACAGCUAGGACAUGCUGAGACGGUCUUCCACCUCCACCACGGCAUCUCUGACCUUCAGCUCUGGGCAGUGCGACUGCCCAGCAGAGCAAGCUCCUGCCUGGAUCCUGCAAGGCUCUUCCAGGCCUUUGCAUUUUUGUAUAACUCACUUAAAAAAAUUUGGAGAACCACAGAAGUGAGAUGAUGCCCUUUUCAGAGCAACGUCAGGAACACAUGCUUCCCAGCGCCACACAGUUAAGGAGAUGUCUGACAGUCCUCUUUUCUGUACAGAGUCCAGGUUCCUGAGAGUGAAGAAUGAUGUUCAAAAACCAAGAUCUGACAUUCAGAACAAGGCUGAAAAGAGAAAGAGAGAGAAGGCAUUCUUAUCUUCUCACAGUCUUCAAGGGAAAGCUCUCAGCAUUUCAUAAUUGAGUACGUUUGUGGUAGACUUUUUUUCUGUAAAUACUUAUUGUCAUAUUAUAAAAGUUUCUUUCCAUUUUAAGUUUACUAUGAGAUUUUCUAGAAAUCAUUAAUAAAUGUUGACUUUUAAUGAAGGCAUCUAUUUAUAUCUACAUCUAUUAAGCUAAUCAUAUGAUAUUUCUCCUUUAUUCUGUUAAUGUAUGCAAUUAUAU
rnacentral:lncRNA from 1 species